UCUCGAUGUUCUCGAUCCUCUCGAUCGACUGUUAAGUGAAAAUUAUGGCUGAGUACUCGAAAGUUAAAUCAGGAAAAUUAGUAUUGAAAGGAGAAAAGGCGAGUUCACACAAGAAACGGAAGCACAAGAGACAAAAUCGUGACAAGGAGGAUGCACCAGUGACAGAUGAAGAUGCAACAAAGCAUGGUGGCUGGUGGAAUGUGACGCAAAUUGAGGGGAUCACAGGUUCGAUUGCAAUCGAAUUUGGCAACCAGACGUAUGUGAAAGCUUUAGACAAUGGUCUGUUCACACUUGGGGCUCCUCAUAGUGAAGGUGAAUGCCCAUCUCCUGAAGAGGUUCUAACAGCAUUCAAAGUGAAUGACAUGAAAAUAGCCCUCAAGUCUGGAUACGGCAAGUACCUGCGGGUUGACAAGGAUGGGGCUGUGACUGGACGUUCUGAUGCUGUUGGGCCUAUGGAACAGUGGGAGCCCAUAUUCCAGGAUGGGAAGUUGGCACUACUGGGAUGCAACAACUGUUUCAUGUCUGUCGCCCGUAAUGAUGACUCAGUAGUGGCAAUCAGCAGGACAGUGGGUUCAGAUGAGAUCAUACAGAUUCGUUCACAUGCUGUGAGGGAAGUGAGGCCGGGCUCUAACUUGCCCGAGGAAGAACAAGGAAGUCUCGCACAGAUUGAGGUGAACUACGUACGUAAGUUCCAGAAGUUCCAGGACAAGAAGCUGCGUGUGAACACAAACGAUAGGAGUGAACUGGAGCUAGCAAGAGCAGAGGGGAACCUUCAUGAGGCUCUGUUAGAUCGACGCAGCAAAAUGAAGGCUGAUCGUUACUGCAAAUAGACACCAGAUUGCAAGAUGAUGGGAACCAAAAUCGUCGCACCAGAGAUCUCGCUGAACACACAAAAAGACUUUUCUUCCAUAAAGGAAACAAGAUUACAACACUGUUCAAAGAACGGGUGCAGACGUGCAGCAACACAGUUAAGCUGCCCAUGAUUCUGUCACAUUGCUUCUGAGUAGACUGAGCUGCUACUGCUUGUCAGUAGACCUCCUUUGCACACAUUGAUCACUGACAACCUCAACUGAGCCAUCAAUUCUAGUGAACAACACUGUGUUUUUAAGCAAAUUUUGUUUUGGUCCACAGCUCUCUGUGUAAAGCCUAUUUUACAUGAAGCUCAAAUAAAACUUAUAAAAGAAAUGGCUCAUCACUGUACAAAGUGUCAUGUGCAUUUCAUUAAGGUCUGAGAAGUUUAUUUGCAACAAUUUUCAGUAUGGUGAAUACUUAGUGAAAUACAAGGAAACAUAACUUGACACGUGUUUCAAUAUUAACUUCCAGAAAAUAUAUUUGUAUAUGCAAUAAAUGAUGAGAUAUGUGGAACUGUGAAGAAGCAGA